GACAGCAGCAGCCGCGGUAAUACAGAGGGUGCGAGCGUUAAUCGGAUUUACUGGGCGUAAAGCGUGCGUAGGCGGCUUCUUAAGUCGGAUGUGAAAUCCCUGAGCUUAACUUAGGAAUUGCAUUCGAUACUGGGAAGCUAGAGUAUGGGAGAGGAUGGUAGAAUUCCAGGUGUAGCGGUGAAAUGCGUAGAGAUCUGGAGGAAUACCGAUGGCGAAGGCAGCCAUCUGGCCUAAUACUGACGCUGAGGUACGAAAGCAUGGGGAGCAAACAGGAUUAGAUACCCCCGUAGUCCCUGUCUCUUAUAC
rnacentral:rRNA from 1 species